GAUUAUUGGUCCAUGUGAGAGCAAGUUGACGAGACAAUUCUACAAAUUAUGUUGCUUUUGUGCUUUGCAAUGAAAAAAGCUAUGUAAAUAAAGUGCCACUCCUUCGCCGCGGCGACAGAAAAUCAAUAAAAGAAGGCUGGGCGCAUGUGUGAAUCUCGUGGAUGAGAGAAUACGGUAAUUGGCGGAAGAGGAGCGUUU
ensembl:ncRNA ZK1098.13 ncRNA